CUUGCUAACACCAACCCAAGUCUCACGUCCCCUUUAUUUUCCCCCUCCCUCAUCGCGCCGACGCCGUCCAUCCCUCAGGAACCUGGACUCCGCCGGGGCGGGACCCCGGCAAGUGGCGCCCGAACAGGGACCUGAAGGGACACUUCAUCUCCUUGGUGGAUUCCUGAUCAUCUGAUUCGACAUGUACCGCAAGCAGCAGACGAGCCCCAGCUUCCGAGUCAAGAUAGAUGAUGAAUCUCCCCCAGUAGCCCAGAUGAGACGACUUUCACUCCGCGAGAAACCUUCUAAACGUCUGGCUCCCCAUCCGCACUCGCCUCCGCCCUCCUAUUCUUUCUACUGACUCUGGCAAAAUUCAACCACACUUGUUGCAGGCCAUAGCCGCUUUACACAAUGUUGUACUGAUUAGACCAACAGGAUCACAGUUGUAUAAGGUUAAGGCCUGUGUCCUGGCCCCUUAUGUUUUCUUGGCCUUUCCUGUACACAGUUUUGCUAUGUCUAUCUCUUUUAAUAAUUCUCGUUAUGAUAUCUCCUGUCCAGAUUGUAUUUUUAACUAAUUGUUUGAGCCCUGAUGUAGAGGUACAAGCUGUAAUCGUAUUACAACAACCCCCCUGCCUCAUGCUGCCUGUUCACCUGUCUGGACCUUGGUAUGAUGAUGUUGGAUUGCUUACUUUGAAACAGGCUACUGAUCUUUUACAGCGCCCCCGCCGGUUUAUCUCUGCUUUAAUAUUGGGUAUCUCAGCCUUGAUUGCAUUAGCAACCUCUCUCACUGUAUCUGCUGUAGCGCUGACUAAA